GAGUUUGAUCGUGGCUCAGGACGAACGCUGGCGGCAUGCCUAAUACAUGCAAGUCGAACGCACGAAGUUGAAAAGCUUGCUUUUCUACCAAGUGAGUGGCGGACGGGUGAGUAACACGUGGGUAACCUGCUCAUAAGAGGGGGAUAACAUUCGGAAACGGAUGCUAAUACCGCAUAUUUCAAGUGACCGCAUGGUCGCUUGAUGAAAGGUGGCUUCGGCUACCACUUAUGGAUGGACCCGCGGUGCAUUAGUUAGUUGGUGAGGUAAUGGCUCACCAAGACCAUGAUGCAUAGCCGACCUGAGAGGGUGAUCGGCCACACUGGGACUGAGACACGGCCCAGACUCCUACGGGAGGCAGCAGUAGGGAAUCUUCCGCAAUGGACGAAAGUCUGACGGAGCAAUGCCGCGUGAGUGAAGAAGGUUUUCGGAUCGUAAAACUCUGUUGUUAGAGAAGAACAAGGAUGAGAGUAACUGCUCAUCCCCUGACGGUAUCUAACCAGAAAGCC
rnacentral:rRNA from 1 species